GGCACCGGUGGAGGGGUUGAAGGUGAAGGAGCCUGGAGGGACGUCCACAACUCUCCGGCCGACCCUAACUGCCAUAAGGUUGACAAAGUAAAGUGAUGGUCUUCUAGGGUUCUUGAGCAAUGGGGUGUACUUGAUCCUCUUGGGCUGCCCAACUGGGCCCAACCUCAGCGACCCAGAGAAGUUGAGGGACUUGAAGCUAGGCAAGCAGUAGGAGAAUGUGGAUUGGUAUAGGUUUUGGGUCUGGGACAGCAACGACAAGGGGCCUCGGCCCAGGCCCAGGAGGCCCUGCGCCGGUAGGGAUCCGCCGGUGGCCUUUUGUAUGCAACCGAAGCUGUAGCCGGGGACUGCAUCGGUGGCUAGGGUGAUGGUGUCCUGUGAGAGGUUGGCUGCUAAGGAGGAGCCACCAUAGGUGAGGUUGAAUGAGCACACCCCCCCACCGCAUGUGGGUUUUGGCACCUGAAAUUACGCGAAGAUCAUAGAAGUUAAAAAGUCUUUUUUUAUAUAAAGGCCCUGGUGACAUGUCAAGAAAAAAACAAAGGAAACAACACUCGGAGAUGUGAGUAAUGGUGAGAGUAAAUGCAGUACCUGCUUACACUGAGCAGCUUGGCAGCCAAGGGACUUGUAGGUAGUAGAGGCAGGAGAGUUAAAGAGAGUGGAGGAGCAGCCCAGACAGCCAUUGCAAGGAAUCCAAGCAACAUCACUGCUGGUGUCCAUGGCCAUGAGCAUGGUUUGAGCAGGAGUUCCAAUCUUAGCCCUCACAAUAUAAGUUGGGUUCUGGACGAUCUGCCUGCCUGAAGCAAUAGGCACUACAGAUUUGCGGGCGACAAGGCUAGAUAAAAACUGGAGCCUGGCCUUGUCCUUGGCCUGCAUUUGGAGCACACUCUCCUCCCAGGACAGUGGCUCUUUUGGCCUGA
rnacentral:lncRNA from 1 species